rnacentral:rRNA from 1 species
CGGGUGAGUAAUGCCUGGGAAAUUGCCCUGAUGUGGGGGAUAACCAUUGGAAACGAUGGCUAAUACCGCAUAAUGUCUACGGACCAAAGAGGGGGACCUUCGGGCCUCUCGCUUCAGGAUAUGCCCAGGUGGGAUUAGCUAGUUGGUGAGGUAAUGGCUCACCAAGGCGACGAUCCCUAGCUGGUCUGAGAGGAUGAUCAGCCACACUGGAACUGAGACACGGUCCAGACUCCUACGGGAGGCAGCAGUGGGGAAUAUUGCACAAUGGGCGCAAGCCUGAUGCAGCCAUGCCGCGUGUAUGAAGAAGGCCUUCGGGUUGUAAAGUACUUUCAGUCGUGAGGAAGGCGUUGAAGUUAAUAGCUUCNUCGNUUGACGUUAGCGACAGAAGAAGCACCGGCUAACUCCGUGCCAGCAGCCGCGGUAAUACGGAGGGUGCGAGCGUUAAUCGGAAUUACUGGGCGUAAAGCGCAUGCAGGUGGUUUGUUAAGUCAGAUGUGAAAGCCCGGGGCUCAACCUCGGAACCGCAUUUGAAACUGGCAGGCUAGAGUACUGUAGAGGGGGGUAGAAUUUCNGGUGUAGCGGUGAAAUGCGUAGAGAUCUGAAGGAAUACCAGUGGCGAAGGCGGCCCCCUGGNNAGAUACUGACACUCAGAUGCGAAAGCGUGGGGAGCAAACAGGAUUAGAUACCCUG